CGUAGGGGAACCGUGCCCCACUAGUCUGGGAUACCACUUGGAACAGGUGCUAAUACCGGAUAAGAAAGCAGAUCGCAUGAUCAGCUUUUAAAAGGCGGCGUAAGCUGUCGCUAUGGGAUGGCCCCGCGGUGCAUUAGCUAGUUGGUAAGGUAAAGGCUUACCAAGGCGAUGAUGCAUAGCCGAGUUGAGAGACUGAUCGGCCACAUUGGGACUGAGACACGGCCCAAACUCCUACGGGAGGCAGCAGCA
rnacentral:rRNA from 1 species